CCUACGGGAGGCUGCAGUGAGGAAUAUUGGUCAAUGGGCGAGAGCCUGAACCAGCGAAGUCGCGUGAGGGAUGAAGGAUCUAUGGUUUGUAAACUUCUUUUAUAGGGGAAUAAAGUGAGGAACGUGUUCCUUUUUGUAUGGACCAUAUGAAUAAGCAUCGGCUAACUCCGUGCCGGCAGCCGCGGUAAGACGGACGGUCCGGGCGUUAUCCGGAUUGGAUGGGUUUAAGGGGAGCGUAGUCCGCAUGGCAAGCGUGCUGUGAAAUGUCCGGGCUCAACGCGGGACUUGCAGUGCGAACUGGCGUGCUGGAGUGUGUGGAAAGCAGGCGGAAUUCGUCGUGUAGCGGUGAAAUGCUUAGAUAUGACGAAGAACACCGAUUGCGAAGGCAGCUUGCUGCAGCGGAACUGACGCUGAUGCUCGAAAGCGCGGGUAUCGAACAGGAUUAGAUACCCCUGUAGUC
rnacentral:rRNA from 1 species